GAUUUCUGGCUUGAUGCGCCUGACCCGCUAAGGUUACUUAGUGUGUGUCGGGUCGCGUCUGCCAUCCUUCUAGUGAACAAUUCUGGUCUUUAUUGAUCGGGGUUGCAAGCUAGAUCUUUUACUUUGAAAAAAUUAGAGUGUUUAAAGCAAGCAAUUUGCUAUGAAUACAUUAGCAUGGAAUAAUAAUUUAGGACUUCGGUUCUAUUUUGUUGGUUUCUAGAGCUGAAGUAAUGAUUGAUAGGGAUAGUUGGGGGUGCUAGUAUUCAGUGGCCAGAGGUGAAAUUCUCGGAUUCCCUGAAGACUCACUUAUGCGAAAGCAUU
rnacentral:rRNA from 2 species